rnacentral:rRNA from 1 species
CCUACGGGUGGCAGCAGUGGGGAAUAUUGCACAAUGGGGGAAACCCUGAUGCAGCAACGCCGCGUGAGUGAAGAAGUAUUUCGGUAUGUAAAGCUCUAUCAGCAGGGAAGAAGAUGACGGUACCUGAGUAAGAAGCCCCGGCUAACUACGUGCCAGCAGCCGCGGUAAUACGUAGGGGGCAAGCGUUAUCCGGAUUUACUGGGUGUAAAGGGCGCGUAGACGGUGAGGCAAGUCUGAAGUGAAAGCCCAGGGCUCAACCACGGAACUGCUUUGGAAACUGCCUGACUGGAGUGUGGGAGAGGCAAGCGGAAUUCCUAGUGUAGCGGUGAAAUGCGUAGAUAUUAGGAAGAACACCAGUGGCGAAGGCGGCUUGCUAGACAGUAACUGACGUUGAGGCUCGAAAGCGUGGGGAGCAAACAGGAUUAGAUACCCCUGUAGUC